rnacentral:SRP_RNA from 2 species
GCCGGGCGCGGUGGCGCGUGCCUGUAGUCCCAGCUACUCGGGAGGCUGAGGCUGGAGGAUCCCUUGAGUUCAGGAGUUCUGGGCUGUAGUGCGCUAUGCCGAUCGGGUGUCCGCACUGAGUUCGGCAUCAAUAUGGUGACCUCCCGGGAGCGGGGGACCACCAGGUUGCCUAAGGAGGGGUGAACCGGCCCAGGUCGGAAACGGAGCAGGUCAAAACUCCCGUGCUGAUCAGUAGUGGGAUUGCGCCUGUGAAUAGCCACUGCACUCCAGCCUGGGCAACAUAGUGAGACCCUGCCUCUU